GACGAACGCUGGCGGCGUGCCUCAUACAUGCAAGUCGAGCGAUUAAAGCUCCUUCGGGAGUGUAUAAAGCGGCGAACGGGUGAGUAACAGGUGGAUGAUCUGCCUCCCGGUGGGGGAUAACGGUUGGAAACGGCCGCUAAUACCGCAUUCGGUUGUUGCGUUGCGACGCAAUAAAGAAAGGCGCUUCACGGCGUCGCCGGGAGAUGAGUCCGCCCCCCAUUAGCUAGUUGGCGGGAUAAUAGCCCACCAAGGCUUCGAUGGGUAGCCGAGCUGAGAGGUUGAUCGGCCACACUGGAACUGAGACACGGUCCAGACACCUACGGGAGGCAG
rnacentral:rRNA from 1 species